rnacentral:lncRNA from 1 species
UCAGAUAAAAUAAUAUCAUCACUGCUGCUGCAUCUGUCGAGUGGGAGCACCGCCGUAUCCACCACCAUAUCCAACUUGCCCUCCAUUAGGUCCUACCUGAGCUCCAUAAUUUCCAGAUCCAUAUCCUGAAUUUCCAUUCGCAUCACCAUAGCUACCUCCCAUGUAUCCUCCACCACUAGGUUGCAGCUCGCCACCAGCAGAAGGAUUGCUAUUUGGGCCACUUCCAAGCCGACCACCAACUGCACCAUAUGCAGCUGGAUUUCCAUAAGAUCCAUCAGCUCCCCCAUAUCCUCCAUUCCCAUAACCUUGAUUCCCAUAACCAGCAGCCCCGCUUGGAGAUUGACCUGUGGGUGCUGCACCACCAGGACCACCAGCAGAGCCACCAGAAGCACCCCAAGGAGUAUUUCCGUAACCCAUGUUACCAUAUCCUGAGGCAGCCUGAGUGCCGUAUGCAUUUCUGGGUGCACCAGGAGGACCACUACCAUAACCAACAUUGGGUACAUUAGGGUUACCAUAUGCCCCACCAGCUGGGCCACCGUAUCCAGGAUUUGCACCAGCAUAACUACCAUACCCACCAGAACCCAUGCCAUUGCUGUUACCAUACCAAUAACCUGAUGCACCAUAUCCAGAAGAGCCGUAUGAUGGAAAUCCACCACCAGUAUUCUGAGACUGCAUGUACCUGUUGGAAUCGCGGCCUUCGUAAGAACUUGAAUUGCCACCUGAAGAGCCAUAACCCUGAUAACCUCCACCACCUCCACCCAUGGAACGGCCGCCACCGCCCCCAUCUUUGGGAAGAGCCCUUUUAACUUCGACUUGUUUUCCACCCAAAUCAUGAAAGGUCUUGUGCAAAACCCGAUCAACUGCGUCCUCAGAGUCAAAUGAUAUAAACCCAAAUCCACGUGGUCGAUUAGUCUGCUGAUCAUACAUGACAACCACAUCAGUUACAUUGCCAUAUGAUUGAAAAUACAGGCGAAAUUCAUCCUCGCUCAUUGUUGGAGGU